UAUGGCAGUCACACAACCUUUUUCUCUCCAGUCCACAGACUUGGGGACCUGAAGCAGCAGAGGCUCCUGAAAUACCUUCCCCUUCCUGUGCUUCUGAUGCUUAUAGCCAUUCACCAACUGCCGGAACUCCUCAUUGGUCUUCCAGGAAAUGCAAACAAAAAGUUGAAAAGGAAGACCUUCACAAGGCUUGUCAGUGUUAUCUGCUCAUGUGCCUGGUCCUUGGCCCCUCAGCACAAUGGAACUGAAUCUCUGCCAACAACCAUAACCUCUGAAAAAGGCAGGCAACAUGAACAGAACUUCUAGAAUUUUGAGUGUGGGACCCUCAACACUGGUAAGUUUAAGGCUGACGGUUGUUGCUCAGCAGGUCCAGCAGUUGCCUGGCAGGCACAGGAACC